rnacentral:rRNA from 1 species
CAGUAGCCACGGUAAUACGAAGGGUGCAAGCGUUACUCGGAAUUACUGGGCGUAAAGCGUGCGUAGGUGGUUGUUUAAGUCUGUUGUGAAAGCCCUGGGCUCAACCUGGGAAUUGCAGUGGAUACUGGGCAGCUAGAGUGUGGUAGAGGGUAGUGGAAUUCCCGGUGUAGCAGUGAAAUGCGUAGAGAUCGGGAGGAACAUCCAUGGCGAAGGCAGCUACCUGGACCAACACUGACACUGAGGCACGAAAGCGUGGGGAGCAAACAGGAUUAGAUACCCGAGUAGUCCCUGUCUCUUAUAC